AUUGAACGCUGGCGGCAUGCUUUACACAUGCAAGUCGAACGGCAGCACAGGGAGCUUGCUCCUUGGUGGCGAGUGGCGAACGGGUGAGUAAUGUAUCGGAACGUGCCUGGUAGUGGGGGAUAACUACUCGAAAGAGUGUCUAAUACCGCAUGAUAUCUUUGGAUGAAAGCGGGGGACCUUCGGGCCUCGUACUACUGGAGCGGCCGAUAUCAGAUUAGGUUGUUGGUGGGGUAAAGGCCUACCAAGCCUGCGAUCUGUAGCUGGUCUGAGAGGACGACCAGCGACACUGAGACUGAGACACGGCCCAGACUCCUACGGGAGGCAGCAGUGGGGAAUUUUGGACAAUGGGCGCAAGCCUGAUCCAGCAAUGCCGCGUGCAGGACGAAGGCCUUCGGGUUGUAAACUGCUUUUGUACAGAACGAAAAGUCUCUGGCUAAUAUCUAGAGAUCAUGACGGUACUGUAAGAAUAAGCACCGGCUAACUACGUG
rnacentral:rRNA from 1 species